rnacentral:rRNA from 1 species
ACGCGAAGAAACCUUACCUGGGCUCGAAAUGCAGUGGACCGGGGUGGAAACAUCCCUUCCCGCAAGGGUCGCUGUAUAGGUGCUGCAUGGCUGUCGUCAGCUCGUGUCGUGAGAUGUUGGGUUAAGUCCCGCAACGAGCGCAACCCUUAUUGUCAGUUGCCAUCAGGUCAAGCUGGGCACUCUGGCGAAACCGCCUCGGAUAACGGGGAGGAAGGUGGGGAUGACGUCAAGUCCUCAUGGCCUUUAUGUCCAGGGCUACACACGUGCUACAAUGGUCGGUACAAACCGUCGCAAACCCUCGAGGGGGAGCUAAUCGGAAAAAGCCGGCCUCACUUCAGAUUGAAUUCUGCAACUCUAUCUUCUGAAGCUGGAAACACAAAUAAUCGAGGAUCACAACACCGCCGAGCAAAGGUUCACGGCUCUCGCGAGCAUAG